ACUCCUACGGGAGGCAGCAGUGGGGAAUAUUGGAAUGGGCGCAAGCCUGAUCCAGCCAUGCCGCGUGAGUGAUGAAGGCCCUAGGGUUGUAAAGCUCUUUCACCGGUGAAGAUAAUGACGGUAACCGGAGAAGAAGCCCCGGCUAACUUCGUGCCAGCAGCCGCGGUAAU
rnacentral:rRNA from 1 species